CUUUAUUAAGUAUUAAUGAAUUUAUAUUUAUUUUCCAAAUAAAAGAACAAAAAUUUAUAUUUUUGAAUAAAGA
rnacentral:tRNA from 1 species